rnacentral:lncRNA from 1 species
AAUCACAAAAUGGCUGGGCAAUCUCUAUCUCCCUUCCACACUUACCAUCCAUCUCAUGGAAGACCAAGGGAGAUGAGACCUUCCAGACUUAUGCAACAACUGGCUGCUGCAAAAUUCUCUGGAGACGCCUUGUGGAACAGCAGCUUCCCAUCUCUUGUGUCUCUCCCUAUCAUGAUCAUGCAGGAAGAAAGUCUGGCUGUGCUAUUUCUUAUCAUUGUCUGUCACCCAUCUGCAACAUGAUACCGUACAGAUAAGGAAAAAGUAGCUCCCUUUCCGCCAGAAGGUUGAGGCUCAGGUACAGGGGUAAUUCUCCUGUACCUGUGCACACAGUCAUUAUUUAGGCCGACUCAGUGACUUCAACAGGCUUAAUCAUGUGAUCAGGUUUGUUGCCAGCUGCAUAAUGCUCCCACAUCUGUAGAUAGAGCCGCUCUAGUUCCAUUGUGUAUUGUUUGGUGUUGAACAGAGGGCUAGAUAUUCUCUGCUUCCAGAAUUUGCCACGAAUUUUCUUCAGGUAUUCUAGAUCAGUUCCCAGUUUCACAGCUAUGUCUUCAUAGUCUUGUCUAUUUUUAGCAAUAAGCUCAGGACAGCCUAAACAAGUGAGCUGGGAAGCUGCAACUCGGGAAGCAAGGGUCUCACCUGACAUAGUCACCAUGGGUGUCCCUGCCCAAAGGACAUCCAUCCCUGUGGUGUGUCCAUUACAGAGUGGAGUGUCCAAGCAGACAUCAGCCAGCUGGCCUCUCCGAACAUGUUCCUCUUUAGGAGCAACAGAGCUGCAUGCAGUAUCUCUCAGCUGCCUCAAAAUCUCCUGCCUGAUAUUCUCGAUGUGCCAACUCAGCUAACCCUUGGAAGGUUAGUUUCGUUGGCUCUGUGCUGUCGGCCACGUUGCCCACGGAAGACGCCAUCUGGAGCUUCUGGAGGGACUGAGAAAAGGGAGUCAUUGAGUCCCGCUGCCACGACUACUGGCAAGAAUGUUUUUAGAGGGAGCAAAUACGAGGGCAGCAGCCAUACCACUGCUUUGGCAGGCUUAAGCGGCGGCAACAGUUACAGGCACCGAACCUUAGGAACUCUGGUUGGCCAUCUACCUCUCAUGGUCUUGAAAUCUUAAUUCUUAACCCUGCCCUCUUCCACCAUUUUUCUCCUAAUCGGGGAAUAAAAAUUACCUAUACAUUUGCCUUAG